CCUACGGGCGGCUGCAGUGAGGAAUAUUGGUCAAUGGACGAGAGUCUGAACCAGCCAAGUAGCGUGAAGGAUGACUGCCCUCUGGGUUGUAAACUUCUUUUAUAUGGGAAUAAAAUGUUCCACGUGUGGGAUUUUGUAUGUACCAUAUGAAUACGGCUCGGCUAACUCUGUGCCAGCAGCCGCGGUAAUACGGAGGAUCCGAGCGUUAUCCGGAUUUAUUGGGUUUAAAGGGAGCGUAGGUGGAUUGUUAAGUCUGUUGAGAAAGUUUGCGGCUCAACCGUAAAAUUGCAGUUGAAACUGGCAGUCUUGAGUACAGUAGAGGUGGGCGGAAUUCGGGGUGUAGCGGUGAAAUGCAUAGAUAUCACGAAGAACUCCGAUUGCGAAGGCAGCGCACGAGACUGCAACUGACACUGAGGCUCGAAAGUGUGGGUAUCAAACAGGAUUAGAUACCCCUGUAGU
rnacentral:rRNA from 1 species